rfam:Halanaerobium hydrogeniformans chromosome, complete genome.
GAUUAAGCUAGAAAGAGCUUAUGGUGGAUGCCUAGGCAUUCAGAGUUGAAGAAGGACGUGACCGGCUGCGAAAAGCCGCGGGGAGCUGCUAAAUAAGCGUAGAUCCGUGGAUAUCCGAAUGGGGCAACCCACCAGUGUGGAGCACUGGUAUUAUGCAGUGAAAGAAGUAGCUGUGUAAGAACAAGCAGGAGAAUUGAAACAUCUUAGUACCCUGAGGAAAAGAAAUCAAAACGAGAUUCCCUUAGUAGCGGCGAGCGAAGGGGGAGAAGUCCAAACACUAAAAGUGUAAACCUGUAGGUGUUGCUUUUAGUGGGUGUGGGAUAUUGUUAAUUAGAGGCUACAGCCUUUAGAUGGCUUAAAUUUUUUGCUAAGUCGAAGGGACUGGAAAGUUCCGCCAGAGAGGGUAAUAGCCCUGUAGGCGAAAAGCAAAAGAAGUCAAACGAUAUCCAGAGUAUCACGGGACACGAGAAACCCUGUGAGAAUAUGGGAGGACCACCUUCCAAGACUAAAUACUCCUGAAUGACCGAUAGUGAACAAGUACCGUGAGGGAAAGGUGAAAAGAACCCCGGAAGGGGAGUGAAAUAGAAACUGAAACCGUAAGCUUACAACAAGUAGGAGGACUAUUAGAAAGUCUGACUGCGUACUUUUUGUAUCACGGACCGGCGAGUUACUGAUCGUAGCAAAAGGUUAAGCCAUAGAGGUGUAGCCAGAGCGAAAGCGAGUCUGAAUAGGGCGGAAGUUAUGAUGAGUAGACCCGAAACCGAGUGAUCUAUCCAUGACCAGGGUGAAGCGGGUGUAAGAGCCUGUGGAGGCCCGAACCCGGUGUUGUUGAAAAAACAUGGGAUGAGUUGUGGAUAGGGGUGAAAGGCCAAUCGAACUCGGAGAUAGCUGGUUCUCCUCGAAAUAGCUUUAGGGCUAGCCUCAGAGUAAAAGUUAAUUGGUUGUAGAGCACUGAUUGGACAAGGGGCCCAACAAGGUUACCAAAUCCAUUCAAACUCCGAAUGCCAAUUAAUGUUCUCUGGGAGUCAGACUGUGGGGGAUAAGCUUCAUAGUCAAGAGGGAAAGAGCCCAGACCACCAGAUAAGGUCCCAAAGUAUAUGCUAAGUGGAAAAGGAAGUGAGAUCGCACAGACAACCAGGAUGUUGGCUUAGAAGCAGCCAUUCAUUUAAAGAGUGCGUAAUAGCCCACUGGUUAAGCGGUUUCGCGCCGAAAAUGUAACGGGGCUAAAGCAUAUCACCGAAGCUGUGGUUUCUAGGAACUGUCCAUAAAAUUUAUCUAUUAAUGAUUUAGGAUGAAUUUAGAUAGGUUUUAUGGGCGGUUUCUAGAGAGGUAGAGGAGCAUUGUGUGCUGGGUGAAGCUAUACCGUAAGGAGUAGUGGACGGCACAGAAGAGAGAAUGCCGGUAUGAGUAACGAAAAAAGGAGUGAGAAUCUCCUUCGCCGAAAGUCUAAGGAUUCCUGAGGAAGGCUCGUCCUCUCAGGGUUAGUCGGGACCUAAGCUGAGGCCGAAAGGCGUAGGUGAUGGAAAAUCGGUAAAGAUUCCGAUACCACUGUAAAUUGAUUGAGUGAAGUGGGGACGCGGUAAAGAAGGUGGAGCAUGUGACUGGAAGAGCAUGUAUAAGCUAUUAAGCUGGGGUAAGGAGGCAAAUCCCUUUACCCAUCUAAACAGCUUAAAGUGAUGUGGAGCCAAAAGAGGCGAAGCCACCGGAUAAAUCGCCAAGAAAAACCACUAACGAGAUUUACAGUGCCCGUACCGCAAACCGACACAGGUAGACGGGAAGAGAAUUCUAAGGCGCGCGAGAGAACCCUUGUUAAGGAACUCGGCAAAAUGACCCCGUAACUUCGGGAGAAGGGGUACCCUUUAGGAAUACCUAGAGGGUCGAAGUGAAAAGAUCCAAGCGACUGUUUAUCAAAAACACAGGUCUCUGCUAAGUCGUAAGACGAAGUAUAGGGGCUGACGCCUGCCCGGUGCUGGAAGGUCAAGGAGAAGGCUUAGUACUUAUGUACGAAGGUCUGAACCUAAGCCCCAGUAAACGGCGGCCGUAACUAUAACGGUCCUAAGGUAGCGAAAUUCCUUGUCGGGUAAGUUCCGACCUGCACGAAUGGCGUAACGACUUGGAUGCUGUCUCAACAAGGGACUCGGUGAAAUUAAAUUGCCUGUGAAGAUGCAGGCUACCUGCGACAGGACGGAAAGACCCCGUGGAGCUUUACUGCAGCCUGAUAUUGGGUUUUGGUGUAGAAUGUACAGGAUAGGUGGGAGGCAUUGAAGCUGGUAUGCUAAUAUCAGUGGAGCCGUUGGUGGGAUACCACCCUUUCUACAGCGGAAUUCUAACUGGAGGCCAUAAACUGGUCACAGGACAUUGUCAGGCGGGCAGUUUGACUGGGGCGGUCGCCUCCCAAACAGUAACGGAGGCGCUCAAAGGUUCCCUCAGUGCGGAUGGAAAUCGCACGAAGAGUGUAAAGGCAGAAGGGAGCUUAACUGCGAGACAAACAAGUCGAGCAGGUACGAAAGUAGGACUUAGUGAUCCGGCGGUAUAGUGUGGAAUUGCCGUCGCUCAACGGAUAAAAGUUACCCCGGGGAUAACAGGCUUAUCUCCCCCAAGAGUUCACAUCGACGGGGAGGUUUGGCACCUCGAUGUCGGCUCAUCGCAUCCUGGAGCUGAAGCAGGUUCCAAGGGUUGGGCUGUUCGCCCAUUAAAGCGGUACGCGAGCUGGGUUCAGAACGUCGUGAGACAGUUCGGUCCCUAUCCGUCGCAGGCGGAGGAUACUUGAGGAGAGCUGUCCCCAGUACGAGAGGACCGGGAUGGACACACCGAUGGUGAAUCAGUUGUUCCACCAGGAGCAUAGCUGAGUAGCUAAGUGUGGCAAAGAUAAACGCUGAAAGCAUCUAAGCGUGAAACAAACUCCAAGAUAAGGUAUCCCACUCUGUUAAAGAGUUAAGAUCCCUUAAAGAUGAUAAGGUAGAUAGGCCGGAGGUGUAAAUGUAGUAAUACACUGAGCUGACCGGUACUAAUAGAUCGAGGGCUUAAUCAU